UCUUGAAAGCCGUUUGGGUCAAUAAAGUC
rnacentral:piRNA from 1 species